AUGCAGCCCACUGGCUUAGUUUGGCAGG
rnacentral:misc_RNA from 1 species